AACUUGCAUAAGGGCCCUGCACCGUAGAGUCUCUCAACUUCUCCGCUUUCCUUUGUUCUUACCGAGCACUUAAGAAUGGAAUAGCUAGCCAACAGGCGUAGCAUUCGAUCUAGUAGCAGAGAUGCUUCAGGAUUCUUGGUGGGAAGGCCACUCGCGAUCUGGGAAGGUGACAGAUACGUGCCGUCACCAGCGGCGGAGAUUGUGUCGAUGAUGUUCAGCUCCAGGGCUGAUUUUAAUACCAUGGGAAGAACAACGGCGUUGGCUAGCCGGACGGCUAGCUUGCCAAGUUCUUGGUCUUGAUCUUCCUGG
rnacentral:lncRNA from 1 species